CCACUGCACUCUGACCUGGGUGACACAGUGAGACCUUGUCUCCAGAAAAAACAACAACAAAAGGAGGAAAUGAAAAUCUAGAAAAAUACGUGAAAUCUUUUCCUAUCAAAUGUUUCCCCCUAAGCUUUAAUGAUCCUAUUUCAAUAAAGGAAAUAUGGGAUAAUAUUGAUGACUGGCAGCAUGUAGUGGUUAAGAGCACCGGACUGGGAGCUGAAGAGUCUGUGAUUCCCGAAUUCCUGGGCUCAAGCGAUCCUCCCACCUCGAUCUCCCAAACUAUUGGGACUAUAGGCAUGAGCCAACAUGCAUGGCCGAGUCUGUGAUUCUUUACUGGAAUUGAGUGACGUGUGUUUUCUUCUUAAAUGACAUUGUGAAUUUCCAAGAUCCUUGAAAUCUCUUUGCAUCUCUUUCCAAUUUGCCGUCACUAUGCCUGAAGUUCAGCUGAAAUGCUCAUAUUUCAGCUUAGACCAUUACCUGUAUUCUGAUCGAAUAUGUUAUGGCAUCGAAGCUAAUUUUGAGACAUGGUCCCUAGGCCAUGGGACCUAAUGACCAGAGAUGGAAGUCCAUGUGCUGCUUCUGUCCCAAGGGAGAUGAGUAUCUGUUAGGGGCUCACUCGGGACUCUGUGCUGCUACCUGAGUGCGACGCAGAUGCUGGAGACUUGAGAAGAUAUCACUGUAGACCCCAACCCUGUUAUAGCUGAUGAGGAAAAAAACUGAGACCAUGUAUUAUUGCCCCCACAAAAUGCACGUAUUAUAUUGAUAAGAUGUGAACAAUAUAUUAUUCCUCAAUAUUCUGCAAGUUGCCUUUCCAUUUUGUUGAUCGUUACUGAAUUCUUCCACCCCCAAAAAGGAUUAUAUGAGAAGAUGGUGAACAAUUGUUUGCCAACACAUUAGAUAACCUAGAUGAAGUGGACAAAUUCCUAGAAAUGUACAAACUAUGAAAACUGACUCAGGAAGAAACAGAUUUCAUUUCCUUCAGCUCUAUACCCAGAAGUGGAUAGCUGGAUCGUAUGGUAGUUCUAUUUUUAAUUUUUUGAUGGACAUUCACAGGCCUGGAGGCCGAAGAGGGAAGAAAGGAUUUUUGGACCCGGCCCAGGACCCUGCUGGCCUGCGCACCCUCGGGACACUGCUAUCUGUGCCCCAGCUGCUCCAGCUUCAGCCAUGUCUAAAAGGGCCCCAGAUACACUUCUGGCUGCUGCCCCAGAGGGUGCAAGCUGUAAGCCUUGGUGGCUUCCAUGUGGUGUUAAGCCUGCGGGUAUGCAGAGGGCAAAAGCUGAGGCUUGGGAACCUCUGCCUACAUUCAGAGGAUGUAUGGAAACACCUGAAUGUCCAGGCAGAAGUCUGCUGCAGGGAUGGAGCCCUCCUGGGGAAACUCAACUAGGGUAGUGUGGAAGGGAAACCUGGGGUUGGAGUCCCUACACAGAGUCCCCCCUGGGGCACUGCCUGGUGGAGCUGUGAGAAGGGGGCCACCGUCCUCCAGACCCCAGAAUCGUAGAUCCACCGGCAACUUGCAUUAUACUCCUGGAAAAGCUGCAGACACUCAACACCAGCCCAGGAGAGCAGUCGAGGGGGCUGUAUCCUGCAGAGCCACAGAAGCGGAGGUGCCCAAGGCCUUGGGAGCCCACCCCUUGCAUCAGUGUGGCCUGGAUGUAAGACAUGGAGUCAAAGGAGAUUAUUUUGGAGCUUUAAGAAUUAAUGACGAUUUUCUGCUGUGCCCGCCCACACAUGUAGUUUCCUCCGCACGUGCGUGCCUUCCCUCCUCCCGGCCUUCAGGGUCCGUGGCCACCAUGGCGUAUUAGGGGUAGCAGUGCCUGUGGCAGCAUUGGUCUUUGCAGUGGUGGCAGCAGCACCAGGCUCUGCAGUGGCACCCACCGGCGGCUUAAGCCAUGGCACUUCUCACAGCAUUCAGCAGCAGCAUUGCUGUAACUGACAAAGACACCUUCGAAUUAAGCACAUUCCUUGAUUCCAGCAAAGCACUGCACCAUGACCAGGAUGAGCUUCCUGAGCAGUGAGGUGUUGGUGGGGGCUUGAUGUCCCCCUUUGACCAGUCAGGUUUGGGGACUGAAGAAAGCCUAGGUCUCUUAGAUGACUACCUGGAGGUGGCCAGGCACUUCAAACCUCAUGGGUUCUCCAGCAACAAGGCUAAGGCAGACUCCUCCGAAUGGCUGCCUGUGGAUGGGCUGGUCAGUGCCUCCAACAAUGGCAAGGAGGAUGCUUUCUUUGGGACAGACUGGAUGUUGGAGAAAACGGAUCUGAAGGAGUUCGACUUUAAUGCCCUGUUGGGUAUAGAUGACCUGGAAACCAUGCCAGAUGAGCUUCUGGCCACGUUGGAUGACUCGUGUGAUCUCUUUGUCCCCCUAGUCCAGGAGACUAAUAAGGAGCCCCCUCAGAUGGUGAACCCGAAUUGCCAUCUCCCAGAAAGGUGAACAAAACCCAACCAGGUUGCCCCCUUCACCUUCUUGCAACCUCUUCCCCUUUCCCCAGAGGUCCUGUCCUCCACUCUAGAUUAUUCCUGUAGUCUAGAGCUGGGAAGUGAAGCGGAUAGCUCUGAAGGAGAUAGGAAGCCAGACUUCACUGCUUACAUUUCCAUGAUCCCUCAGUGCAUAAAGGAGGAAGUCACUCCCUCAGAUAAUGAUAGUGGCAUCUGUAUGAGCCCAGAGUCCUAUCUCAGCUCUCCCCAGCACAUCCCCUCUACCUCCAGGGGCUCUCCAAGUAGGAGCCUGCCAUCUCCAGGUGUCCUCUGUGGCUCUGCCUGUCCCAAACCUUAUGACCCUCCUGGGGAGAAGAUGGUAUCAGCACAAGUAAAGGGUGAGAAACUGGAUAAGAAGCUGAAAAAAUGGAGCAAAAACAGAACAGCAGAAACUAGGUAUCACCAGAAGAAGAGGGUGGAGUAGGAGGUCCUCGCUGGUGAGUGCAAAGCCCUGGAAAAGAAGAACGAGACUCUGAAAGAGAGGGCAGAUUCCCUGGCCAAGGAGAUCCAGUACAUGAAAGAUUCGAUAGAAGAGGUCUGCAAGGCAAGAGGGAAGAAAAGGGUCCUCUAGUUGAGGGUAGUCAGGAGCAUCAGUGUGCUUGUACACAGGAGUCUCGUGCUGUAGCUGUGUGUUUGAAUAAAUUAUUUUGUAAUGGGAAAAAAAAAAAGAAUUAAUGGCUGUCCUGUUGGGUUUUGGACUUGCAUGGGGCCUGUAGCCCCUUUGUUUUGGCCGAUGUCCCCCUUUUGGAAAGGGAGUCUUUACCCAAUGCCUGUACCUCAAUUGUAUCUUGGAAGUAACUGACUUGCUUUUGAUUUUACAGGCUCAUGGGCAGAAGGGACUUGCCUUAUCUCAGAUGAGACUUUGGACUGUGGAGUUUCGAGUUAGUGCUGAAAUGGGUUAAGACUUGGGGGACUGUUGAGAGGAGAUGAUUGUAUUUUGCAAUGUGAGAAGUACAUGAGAUUUGGGAGGGGGCAGGAGUGGAAUGAUAUGGUUUGGAUUUAUGUCCCUGCCCAAAUCUCAUGUUGAAUUGUAAUUGUAAUCCAACUGAAUUGUUGGAGAAGGAGCCUGGUGGGAGGUGAUUGGAUCAUGGG